rnacentral:lncRNA from 1 species
CUCCAAUGGGAGAGAUUCUGAGUUAUCAACCAAUUUCUGACAACCUGCCCAAAUGCAUCAGACCUGAUGCCCAGGACAGACUGAGAUCUGUUAAAGGAAUGAGAAGCCUCUCUUUUUUGGCCAGCCCAUCUGCACCUUAUUGCUCUCAAUCCCUUGAGCCCUCAUACUCAAACAGAUUGAACUCUAUUCCUGGUAGCCACUUCUACAAUGAAAUGACAAUAUUUCCACACAAAUUUUAAAGUAAAGUAAGAGCUAUCAAGUGCUUAUAAUUUGCAGCUUGACUAUUUGAUAGAAUAUAAAUAUGUUUAUUAACAUAUCUCCUAUUAAGACUGAUUUUAACACAUUCAGAAAUAGC